rnacentral:lncRNA from 1 species
UUUAAUUUACAAAUGUUUGCUAGGGUCACCCUCUCGGCCAUCCCACGAGGGUCGCCAUGAUCACCCCAACUCUAGAGGCCGCAGCAGAGCUCAGGACAUUCCCCCACAGAGCUUGCCCCUCAGUUCCUACCUCCAAGGGGGAGGGUCCUGGAAGCGCCCACCCAGGCGCCGCCCCUGUGCUUGCUCCCCGAGCUCAGGGAUUGCCGAGUCCACGUAACUGACCUGUACUCCACGAGGCCCUGUGGGAACGGUCCAGGCUGGUCCUGCCCUGUGGAGGCCUCCGUGCACUGAGAGAUGUACUAGGAUUGCAGCAAAGGUGGUCAGGGUGAUGGGCCGCACAGCGAGGCAGUCAAGGCCAGCUCCCUGGGAGAAGCACUGGGUCAGGUGAGGUCUGAGGACAGCAGGCCUUCCCUAGGGGAAGGAGCUGGGAGUGCCAAGGCCCCAGGUGCACAGGAGGCGUGGCUGCUGAGAGGCUGCAGGGUGGAGGGGCCUCGGCCUCAGAGUCAUGUGCCCUGUGACCACUGAAGGGUGUCAGCAGAGCACACGGCAUGAGGACAGAGGGAGGGGCACGGGGAGUGAAGGAGGGGGCCCUGGGGCAAGGCUCGGGGGUCAGGAGCUCAGCGUCCGCUACUCAGCCCAGCCAAAACCCUCCCAGACGUCUCCUCUCCUGCCUGGGCAAAGUCCAGCUUGGCACCCCGUCUGGGGCCUGCCUGUGGUCAGGGCCAAGUGUUCCCUCCUCCAGGAAAGCCUUUACCCUCCUCAUGCCCUGUAGUCAGGAGGCCGCCUGCUGUAACCCUCCGUGUCGCCUCGGGUGCGAAAUCAGACCCACCUGACACCAUCACGCGGAGGCCCAGCAGCACCUGCACCCACUUCCAGCUGCUCUGGCCAAAAUCUCCGCUCGGCCAGGCCCCGUGGCUCACACCUGUAAUCCUAGCACAUUGGGAGGCCAAGGCAGGCACAUCACCUGAGUUCAGGAGUUCAAGACCAGCCUGGCCAACAUGGUGAAAUCCCGUCUCUACUAAAAACAGAAAAUUAUCCGGGCGUGGUGGCACAUGACUGUAAUCCCAGCUACUCAGGAGGCUGAGGCAGGAGGAUCACUUGAACCUGGGAGGCGGAGGUUGCAGUGAGCUGAGAUUGCGCCAUUGCACUCCAGCCUGGGCAACAAGAGCAAAAUUCUGCCUCAAAAAAAAAAAUAGUAAUAAUACAAAAAUUAGCUGGGCGUGGUGGCACAUGCCAGUAAUUCCAUCUACUCGGGAGGCUGAGGCAGGAGAAUCGUCUAAGCCCGGGAGGUGGAGGUUGCAGUGAGCCCAGAUGGCGCUGCUGCACUCAAGCUUGGAUGACAGAGCAAGACUCCGUUUCAAAAAAAAAAAACCUCCUCUCUUCCUUCACACCUUCCUCUGAAUCCCACCCGGUCCCACCUCCUGAACCUAUCCAGACACCUUCUCCUGACCCAGGCACCACCUGCUUUCGGGGCGAUGGCCGUAGCCUCCUCCCAGGCACCUGUCUGCAUCCCUCUGGCCAGUGCAUGCUGAGCACGUGACCUACCCGUGUUGGGACACGUGAGGAUACAGCCUUGACCCCCAGGGGCUGACAUUCUAGGGGGAGAUAGAAGGAGACAAACGUAGAAGGUAGAAUAAGUGGGUGGUGGAGUGGCAGGGAGUGCUGAGUGCCACAGGAAGUCAGACAAGGAAGGAGAGUGUGGGGCAGGUGCCGUUUAAAUGGGGGGCGCUGGGGUCUCCUCACAGUUGCUUCUCAGCUCAGCUGUGCCAGGAUCUUGUUGAGUCAGGUCAGCUGCCCACAGCCCUCUUGCCUGACCCCUGAAGCCCAGAACUCUGAUCUUCACAGCCCUAGGUAUGGCCCCAGCACCCCACUGCCCUCUCUCCUGCCCCAGCCGACUGCUGUUCCCAGACUUCCCUGGCCACGCUCCAAGACGCCAGCUCUGCCGCGGGCACUUUGUUCUCACGGUGUCCUCCAUGCCUGCAGGGCCCAUGCAUGGGAAGUUGCGUUGGCGGCCUGGGUGUUGGCGGUUCCGUGCCUGCUCCAACUCUCCGUGAGGCCCCUCUCCCAGAGCCUGACACACUCUGUGGCCGAACUCUAGGCAGGUGCCCCUGAGUCCUUUCCUCGACGAGGCCUGACCCCAUCCCCAUCCUCGCUGGGCCCGCCGACCCCGGUGUUAGCAAGAAUCCUCUAAAUCAGUUUAUGGAGAAUUACCCACCCUCGAUAUCUGAUCCCAUUCCUCAUCUCCCACCCUUGAUCUCAUCACCCUGCCGGCCUCCUGCAAGAUCCUCAUUGAGCCACUCCAGUGAGAAUCCCCCUACCCUCGAAGGCCGCCCUAACAACUUCCCAUCCGCUGACCCCUCCAACGCCAUCAAUCUCCAGCUGUGGUUGUUGAACUCGGAGGUGAGCUCCUCUCACCACUCUCUUGAAUAAAGCUUUUCUCACCAUUUU